UCUUUAAACGGCCGCGGUAUCCUAACCGUGCAAAGGUAGCAUAAUCACUUGUCCCCUAAAUCGGGACUAGAAUGAAUGGCUAAAUGAGGAUUAAACUGUCUCUUACGGGUAAGCCAAUGAAAUUGAUAUCUCAGUACAAAAGCUGAGAUAAAAACAUAAGACGAGAAGACCCUGUGGAGCUUAAAAACCAAACCACCAAAUAUGGUCCUUGGAUUUUUAGUUGGGGCGACUUUGGAGCAAAACAAAACCUCCAAAUAUAAAUACCUGCCUUAUUAAGAUAAACAUACCAAAACAAUAACAUAGACCCAGCAAUUAAACCCACCAAUUGCCUGAUAAAUGAACCAAGUUACCCCAGGGAUAACAGCGCCAUCCCCUUAUAGAGUCCCUAUCGACAAGGGGGUUUACGACCUCGAUGUUGGAUCAGGACACCCCAAUGGUGCAGCCGCCAUUAAAGGUUCGUUUGUUCAACGAUUAAUAGUCCUACGUGAUCUGAGUUC
rnacentral:rRNA from 1 species